CACGGGGUUGCGAGCGUUGUCCGGAAUUACUAGGCGUAAAGGGCAGGCAGGCGGAUCCAUAAGUUUAUCGUUUAAGGCGUCGGCUUGACCGGCGUAGGGCGGUAGAUACUGUGGAUCUGGAAUGCGGUUGGGGAAGACAGAAUUCCUGGUGUAGCGGUGGAAUGCGCAGAGAUCAGGAGGAAUACCGAAGGCGAAGGCAGUCUUCCAAGCCGUUAUUGACGCUCAACUGCGAAGGUGUGGGUAUCAAACAGGAUUAGAUACCCUGGUAGUCCCU
rnacentral:rRNA from 1 species